rnacentral:lncRNA from 1 species
GGGGCAGCAACCCAACAACGGGUUGUCCGAUUCAUCUGAAAAUUUAAGGGCUGAUAGAUCUUGACCUGAUAAACAAUUUUACCCCAAUCAGAUUUGCUCUAAAUGCUUUGGUUUUUGAGUUAUAAGCCAAAAACUGCAUUUUACCCCUAUGUUCUAUUUUUAGCCAUGGCGGCCAUCUUGGUUGGAUGGCCGGGUCACCGGACACAUUUUUUAAACUAAAUACCCCAAAAAUGAUUGUGGCCAAGUUUGGAUUAAUUUAACCC